rnacentral:rRNA from 1 species
AUUGAACGCUGGCGGCAUGCUUUACACAUGCAAGUCGAACGGCAGCGCGGGCUUCGGCCUGGCGGCGAGCGGCGAACGGGUGAGUAAUACAUCGGAACGUGCCCAGUAGUGGGGGAUAGCUCGGCGAAAGCCGGAUUAAUACCGCAUACGACCUGAGGGUGAAAGCGGGGGAUCUUCGGACCUCGCGCUAUUGGAGCGGCCGAUGGCAGAUUAGCUAGUUGGUGGGGUAAAGGCCUACCAAGGCGACGAUCUGUAGCUGGUCUGAGAGGACGACCAGCCACACUGGGACUGAGACACGGCCCAGACUCCUACGGGAGGCAGCAGUGGGGAAUUUUGGACAAAGGGCGAAAGCCUGAUCCAGCAAUGCCGCGUGUGUGAUGAAGGCCUUCGGGUUGUAAAGCACUUUUGGCGGGAACGAAAAGGACUGUGCCAAUACCACGGUUCGAUGACGGUACCCGCAGAAUAAGCACCGGCUAACUACGUG